ACCCGGCAAGUAUGGCCGCUACUUCAAGAUCCUGAAUCAUUAAGUGCUUGAGUUCUACGAGCUCGUUAUUACCCGGACAGCAACAUACUUGAUGCAGCACUAGGCACACAUCCUUCCCAAGGUUUAAUCAGAAGGAUUGGGUUGGGCUUGGACACAUGCAUAUGGGAGGACAACUGGUUGCCUCGUGACUACAAGCUGAAACCCAUAUGCCCCAUAUCACCUGAUCCGCUGCAGCUUGUCUUAGAGUUAAUUGAUGCAACAACACGCACAUGGAAUAAACAAGUUCUGAACGAGCACUUCAUCAGUCCAGAUGUGGAUAUCAUCAUGACUAUACCUUUAAGUUUCCGAGUGCAACAUGACUUCUGGGCAUGGCACUAUGAUAGACGAGGGGUGUUUACCGUGCGCUCAGCUUACAAGAUGAUUAGCAGUAUCAAACACCAGAGAGAGGACUGGUUAGAGCAUAGAACAAGCCACUCAAAUGUGGAAGCAGAAAGUAAGUCCUGGACUCAACUAUGGAAGGUUAAAGUCCCAUCUAAGAUAAGGGUGUUUGUAUGGAGACUAGCACAAAUGUCGCUACCGACUGGUGCAGUCCGCAAUGAGCGAAACAUGGCCACAUCCCCAGCUUGCGGACUCUAUGAUGAGGAGGUGGAUUCCUGACGUCAUUCCUUGUUUGAAUGCGGGAUGGCGUGAUGUGUUUGGGCGCUAGGAGAUGAGGAGACUCUGGAGCAUGUGAUAUCAAAC
rnacentral:rRNA from 1 species